rnacentral:rRNA from 1 species
UACGUAGGCAGCGAGCGUUGUUCGGAGUUACUGGGCGUAAAGGGUGUGUAGGCGGCCUAUUAAGUUUGGUGUGAAAUCUCCCGGCUCAACCGGGAGGGUGCGCCGAAAACUGGGAGGCUAGAGUGCGGGAUGGGAGAGUGGAAUUCCUGGUGUAGCGGUGAAAUGCGUAGAUAUCAGGAGGAACACCGGUGGCGAAGGCGGAUCUCUGGGCCUGUCCUGACGCUGAGGCGCGAAAGCUAGGGGAGCGAACAGG